CAGUCGCCGCGGUAAUACAGAGGGUGCAAGCGUUAAUCGGAUUUACUGGGCGUAAAGGGCGCGUAGGUGGUUAUUUAAGUGAGAUGCGAAAGCCCCGGGCUUAACCUGGGAACUGCAUCUUAUACUGGGUAACUGGAGUGCAGUAGAGGGUAGUGGAAUUUCCGGUGUAGCGGUGAAAUGCGUAGAUAUCGGAAGGAACACCAGUGGCGAAGGCGGCUACCUGGACUGAGACUGACACUGAGGCGCGAGAGCGUGGGGAGCAAACAGGAUUAGAUACCCCGUAGUCCCUGUCUCUUAUACA
rnacentral:rRNA from 1 species